rnacentral:lncRNA from 1 species
CUGAGAUGAUGUCAUAAUGAUGUUAUAAGGUUGUUGUAGUACUGAGAUGAUGUUACAAGGUUGUUGCAGAGCCAUUUAGAGAGUUAAUGAGAAUUAUAAUUUAUUGAACUUAUAUAGUGCUUUUCAAAGAAUCUCUAAGCACUUCAAAACACAAAAGAAGAGAUUUAGAAAAACAACAUCACAACAUCAUGAGAUGGACAGUCAUUAGAAAGUUCAUGGCUUGACCAGUCAUCUGUAUCGAGACUCAGGAUAAGACCCAGAUGCAAACAGUUCGAAUCACAGAUGUUUUUUUUUGAAAACGGGACAGGCAAACGACAGGUCAAGGGCAGGCAGAGGUCAGUAAUCCAGGGCAGAGUCAGUAAAGUACAGAACGUCAGACAGGCAGGCUCAGGGUCAGGGCAGGCAGAAUGGUCAAAACUGGGAAGAUUAGGAAAAACAAAACUAGAGCACAGGAAAUACGGGAACACGCUUGUAGGCCUUGACGGGAGAAGACAAACUGGCAACAGACAAAAACAAAACACAGGUAUAAAUACACAGGAGAUAAUGGGGACAAAUGGGAGAAACUUUAACAUUUUAUGGUCGCCAUGUUAGCGCCCCAUUAACAUUACAUGGGAAUAUUUUAUAAUGCUAUCUAACUUAAUGUCUAGAAUUAGAACAGUAUAAACUAUUCUAAUAUAUUUGUGUGUUGGCCAAACACAAAUAUAUGACUCUGGGUUGUUGUAGUGGUACUUAGAUGAUGUCACAAUGGCAUUAGAAUGUUGGUGGACCCAUGGCCAUAGAAUUGGGAAUUAGAAUACUAGAAUGGACAUGAACCUUCUGAUGAUGGUCCAAAAGUCAGCCAUGUUGGUCAGGAAGUUGGUCAUUUUUUUUAUUGUUUAUUUUAUUUAACCAUUUAUUUAACUAGGCAGUUAAGAACAAAUUCUUAUUUUCAAUGAUGGCCUACCUCGGUCAAACCCUCCCCUAACCCGGAAGACGCUGGGCCAAUUGUGCGCCACCCUAUUAGUCAACCAUGGUCUGACAGUGUUGUGAUAAGAAAUUGUGUAAAACAAUGAAUGUGAACAAUUGAUCUGCACUGUAUGUGUGUUAGCUAGCUAGCCAGUCAGUUUUAGAGGUUUGACUCCAUACAUUUGUCAAAUGAACUGCUAAUAUCCAAACAUUCCAUUCAAGCAAUGCAGUCAAUCCACAGCCAAUCCACUGGCUCAAAUCAGUUGAUGAUAGGACUUAGACAAGUUAUAAAUGCAACAUGUACUGACAUUGUAU